ensembl:lncRNA
CCCGGGUGGUUCUGCUCGGUGUCUGCCGUUUUCUCGGCGCGGACGGGAUUCCCGUGGACGUGCGGCAUAAGGGGCGGGACGCGACAAGAAAAGCAUCCAUGGAGCUCAGGUUUGAGUUGAAACCAGGCUCAAGGUCCGCCUGUCCUCGCUGAUCGUGGAUUUCUGUGUGAACAGGUGAGCGCCGCGUGGACUCGUUCCAGCAGGUUCCAGCAGCCCCCGCUGUGCAGAAGAGCUGCCUGUGGGCUUUCCUGGGCUCGGGGUGUCAACACGAGGAGUCACUAAGAGGGAGGGUGUCUUAGGAAAAGUUCUUGAUGUUUGAUGGAUCAUAUUCAGGGGAAAGAUAGUAAAGUGUGUGUGGUUCUGUCUGUGUCAACAAUUCAGAAAAUACAGUUAUAUGCAGAUAACAUGUUAAACAAACAUGCAAAUAACUGCAAAUACGUGUGCAGUAGAGAACUAUAGAUGUACUUGCAUUCCAUCAUAUUCAAAAUGUCAGGAUUUUAUAUGUAAUAUAAAUAUGUAAAUGCUUUCUGUGUUUAUGUAGUGUUACAAGACAACCCGUUAAAUAUUGGCAGGAAUACUGAGCAGCAUUCCUCAGGCUCAUUCAGCUUGACUUCUAAAGCCCUUUCAAUCCUCCACAAAGAUUCAAAAUAGAGGGGCACCGGAGGAAAAAGAUGAUUUUUAACUUCUUUAUAUUAGUAACAGAACUUUAAAAUGGAAUUGACCAGCAACCAGAUGUAUUUUGAGCAAGUAAUUUUUUAUUCUUUGUGAGAUUUUGCAUCUUCUGGAGGAAUGUUAAGCGACACCUUGUAGAUUGAAGGGUCGGGACUAGUCUGCAAACAGAGUGUCCGCUGCACCUUGCCUUCUACAGGGAAUUGACUUUGUUUCUUGAAACUUUUCUGAAAUGACAGUCUGGUGAUUGACAUUGCAGGGAAUGAUGUUAAGUAAUUUUAUAUUUAAUUGUUGGCUUCUACUAAUUGUGAGUGUGGGUGUGUGUGUCUUUCUCAUUCUAGCUUUCCUGGGACAUUCUUGAGGGGAAUGUGUGCUUGUCAUGUAAUUGAUAUUCUUUGAGUGCACAAUUUAUGGUGACCAACCGUCCUCGUUUAUUCAGGACUGAGGGGUUUGCUGAGACACAGGACAUUUAGUGUUCAAACCAGGACAGUCCUAGACAAACCAGGAUGGCUCAUCAUCUCCAUGAGCCAGGCCCUGGGCCAACUGCCAGGUGAUGUGGAGCUUGGCACAAGAGGACGCAGCCUGAGGGGACAGAAAAGCCCUCUUGAGAAGGACUGACAUUUGGCUUGAGAGCUAGAUUUGGGACUGGAUUUAGGUAGUUGGAGGGUUAGCCUGGAGUGAGGGUGUGGGAGUGUGUUCAAGAGAGCCUUUCAGGCAGAGGGACCUAUGUGACAACAACUCUGAAGCAGAGAGCCUGGUGUGUCCAUGCCCUGAGAAGAGGGAUGAUUGAAGGGAGUCAACACAGGGGAGGGGUGUGAGUCAGACAGGCGAGGGGGGCAGGCAGGACCAGAUCAGGCAUGGCCGUGGACUCUGCUCUAAGACCAGUGGGAAGACGCUGGAGAGCGGGGAGUAGAAGGAUGACGUGACUAGCAUUUGGUCAAAGCACGUGGGUUAAAAUGGACUUUAGGGUUAAGAAUGAAGACUUAAGAGGCAAGAUGGGAGGGGUUGGGAAGAAGAUUAGAAAUAAAGUGAUUGUUCCCUAGGCCUGGAUGAUGGCUGUGGAGUAGGAAAGAGCUAGAAAAAAAAGACCUUGGCGUUUAGCACUGAGAGAAGGUAACAAUACUUUAAUGGGUGCAUUUGUCAGAUGGCACAGGGCACUGACUGUGCUCCUAGCUGCUGUCCAUGCAACCCUGCAGGCAUCCCCCUCACCCAGGUCCAUGUUUUUUCGCCACUUUGCCACUCACAAGUCCCUCCUUCACAUCCUAAAGGAAGUCAGGCCUCAGUGUGUCUAGGGCUUCCCUGUCUACCAUGGUAGUCAGUAGCCACUUGUAGCUAUUUCAGUUGUACCAAUGAAACAUAUAAUUAGAAAUUUGUUUGCUCAGUCACCCU